UAAUCUGCCUUCCAGAGAGAAAUAACAAGAGGAAACUCUUGCUAAUGUCGCAUAAGACCACGCUGUGGCAUCACAGAGAGGUCAAAGGGGAAACCCGCUGGAAGAUGAGUCUACGGCUGAUUAGCUAGUUGGAGAGGUAAGAGCUCACCAAGGCGAUGAUCAGUAGCCGGGCUGAGAGGCUGACCGGCCACAUUGGGACUGAGACACGGCCCAGACUCCUACGGAAGGCAGCAG
rnacentral:rRNA from 1 species